rnacentral:rRNA from 1 species
GCGCGCUGGCGGCGUGCCUAAUACAUGCAAGUCGAGCGCGGGAAGCGAGUGGAUCCCUUCGGGGUGAAGCUCGUGGAACGAGCGGCGGACGGGUGAGUAACACGUGGGCAACCUGCCUGUAAGAUCGGAAUAACUCCGGGAAACCGGGGCUAAUGCCGGGUAAUACUUUCUUUCGCAUGAAGGAAAGUUGAAAGAUGGCUUCUUGCUAUCACUUACAGAUGGGCCCGCGGCGCAUUAGCUAGUUGGUGAGGUAACGGCUCACCAAGGCGACGAUGCGUAGCCGACCUGAGAGGGUGAUCGGCCACACUGGGACUGAGACACGGCCCAGACUCCUACGGGAGGCAGCAGUAGGGAAUCUUCCGCAAUGGACGAAAGUCUGACGGAGCAACGCCGCGUGAACGAUGAAGGUCUUCGGAUCGUAAAGUUCUGUUGUUAGGGAAGAACAAGUACCGUGCGAAUAGAGCGGUACCUUGACGGUACCUAACGAGGAAGCCCCGGCUAACUACGUGCCAGCAGCCGCGGUAAUACGUAGGGGGCAAGCGUUGUCCGGAAUUAUUGGGCGUAAAGCGCGCGCAGGCGGUUCCUUAAGUCUGAUGUGAAAGCCCACGGCUCAACCGUGGAGGGUCAUUGGAAACUGGGGAACUUGAGGACAGAACAGGAGAGUGGAUUUCCACGUGUAGCGGUGAAAUGCGUAGAUAUGUGGAGGAACACCAGUGGCGAAGGCGACUCUCUGGUCUGUUUCUGACGCUGAGGUGCGAAAGCGUGGGUAGCAAACAGGAUUAGAUACCCUGGUAGUCCACGCCGUAAACGAUGAGUGCUAGGUGUUA